rnacentral:rRNA from 1 species
AGAGUUUUAUCAUGGCUCAGGAUGAACGCUGGCGGCGUGCUUAACACAUGCAAGUCGAACGAAGCACUUUAUUUGAUUUCCUUCGGGACUGAUUAUUUUGUUGACUGAGUGGCGGACGGGUGAGUAACGCGUGGGUAACCUGCCUUGUACAGGGGGAUAACAGUUGGAAACGGCUGCUAAUACCGCAUAAGCGCACGGCAUCGCAUGAUGCAGUGUGAAAAAACUCCGGUGGUAUAAGAUGGACCCGCG